GACGAACGCUGGCGGCGUGCCUAAUACAUGCAAGUCGAACGCUUUUUCUUUCACCGGAGCUUGCUCCACCGAAAGAAAAAGAGUGGCGAACGGGUGAGUAACACGUGGGUAACCUGCCCAUCAGAAGGGGAUAACACUUGGAAACAGGUGCUAAUACCGUAUAACACUAUUUUCCGCAUGGAAGAAAGUUGAAAGGCGCUUUUGCGUCACUGAUGGAUGGACCCGCGGUGCAUUAGCUAGUUGGUGAGGUAACGGCUCACCAAGGCAACGAUGCAUAGCCGACCUGAGAGGGUGAUCGGCCACACUGGGACUGAGACACGGCCCAGACUCCUACGGGAGGCAGCAGUAGGGAAUCUUCGGCAAUGGACGAAAGUCUGACCGAGCAACGCCGCGUGAGUGAAGAAGGUUUUCGGAUCGUAAAACUCUGUUGUUAGAGAAGAACAAGGAUGAGAGUAAAACGUUCAUCCCUUGACGUAUCUAACCAGAAG
rnacentral:rRNA from 1 species